rnacentral:rRNA from 1 species
UGGGGAAUAUUGGACAAUGGGCGAAAGCCUGAUCCAGCCAUGCCGCGUGUGUGAAGAAGGUCUUCGGAUUGUAAAGCACUUUAAGUUGGGAGGAAGGGCAUUAACCUAAUACGUUAGUGUUUUGACGUUACCGACAGAAUAAGCACCGGCUAACUCUGUGCCAGCAGCCGCGGUAAUACAGAGGGUGCAAGCGUUAAUCGGAAUUACUGGGCGUAAAGCGCGCGUAGGUGGUUUGUUAAGUUGGAUGUGAAAUCCCCGGGCUCAACCUGGGAACUGCAUUCAAAACUGACUGACUAGAGUAUUGUAGAGGGUGGUGGAAUUUCCUGUGUAGCGGUGAAAUGCGUAGAUAUAGGAAGGAACACCAGUGGCGAAGGCGACCACCUGGACUAAUACUGACACUGAGGUGCGAAAGCGUGGGGAGCAAACA